GAAGGCGUGAAGCAGGACAUAGGCACCGGAGCUGACUCGGGCAAGGUGGUACCCGAGCCUCGACGUGGCAACCUGUAAACAGCAGAGGCAGGGCCGGCGAGCGGCCGAGAUGCCGCAAGGAGGCUCGGAGGGGCAAAGCCGCAUGCCGACGAGCGGUCCGAGAAGGUGAGGCUGUUGUCGGCCGGGUCGGUGUCUAAUAGCAAAGUGUUACAUGGCCACUCGGUUAAGCAUUUCUCUUUGGUUUUGCAGGUGCCCUGCAGGCUGCCUUUGGAAUUGGAUGAGCAUUUGAGGUGCCACAAGCGAUGACGGCCGCAGCGUCCGAGACUGGAAUUCCUGCGGAGCAGGUGAUGAAGAGGAGCCUGGCAACUGGAGGAAUAUGUUGGUUUGCUGAUGUGGCUUUUGUCGAGGAUGGAUUCAGACCCCCGGCCCUCUGACAGCUAAGUUGAGGGAGCAGGGAUGGGGAGCGGGCCCCGUGGGGAGGGGACGAGGUUGGGAACUGCAGGGAGGGGUUUUGAAGUUAGCGUAGGGGAGAGGGCUGUCCAGGAACAGUUCCUUUUGGGCAG